UACGGAGGGUGCAAGCGUUAAUCGGAAUUACUGGGCGUAAAGCGUGCGUAGGCGGCCUGUUAAGCCAGAUGUGAAAGCCCCGGGCUUAACCUGGGAACUGCAUUUGGGACUGGCAGGCUAGAGUUUACUAGAGGGGAGUGGAAUUUCAGGUGUAGCGGUGAAAUGCGUAGAGAUCUGAAGGAACACCAGUGGCGAAGGCGGCUCCCUGGAGUAAAACUGACGCUGAGGUACGAAAGCGUGGGUAG
rnacentral:rRNA from 1 species